rnacentral:lncRNA from 1 species
GGCGGAAGAGGUGGUGGAUGUGGAUGAUGAGGGUGAGGACGACGAGGGAGAUGAAGAGGAGGAGGCGGUUGAUGGCGACGACGACGACGACGAAGUCGACGACGAUGGGGAAGAUGACGAUGACGAGGGGGUGGAGGGUGAGGAGAAGGGGUCGGCGCCGCAGCAGGUGGUCGACAUCUCCGACGAGGACGACGGCGGCGGCGACGAAGAGGAGGGUGGUGACGAUGACGACGACGACGACGACGACGAUGAUGACGAGGAGGACGACGACGAAGUCGACGAGGAGGAGGAGCCUGAGGUAUAAAUUUCUCAUCGUCUUGUAAUUUUGUUGGCAUCUAAAAUAUGUGCCGUCUCAGUACUUUCGGUUACGUUUACUCUAUGAACAUAUACUUCGUUAUGCUAGAGAAAUUCCAGAUCUGUCUUCAGAUCUUGUUGAUACAUGCUUUCCUCAAAGAAACCGGAUUUCUCGUGGCUGUCGAUUAAUAUUUUUAGAUCUGUAAAAAGUAAGUAUGACAGUUGCAUCUGGCUAGUUAGAUAGAUUUAGAAAUUGGGAUUUUUUUUCUUUUGCUCAACCUGCAGGCUUUUCUGCUCUGUGUUCGUUUAGAUCUUGUCGACUGUACUCUGCUAUACCGUUCAACCUUUACCUGUCCUUCCAUUGUGUGGUAGUUGACAUUCAAUUGGCAUAUCCACCGGCCGUCCGUUGUUGUGUGGUCUGCAGUGUAGCCCAUCAGAUCAGAACCACGUCCCUUUUCCGAGAAUAGUCAAGGACAAAGUAUAUGUCCCCUUCGAUAUACUUGCUAUAUUUAGUUGUUAAAAGAAAAAAAAAUCCUUGUUUAGGGAUGGUUUUCCAUCUGAGCUGUUAACCUAUAGGCCACACAAUAGAGAUGGGGCUAUGAUAUGCCAUCUAUGAAUUAUCUUACUGUACUAGAUCUGCCUUGCGGUCUUCCAAGGUAUCUUGCCUGCAGGAAAUCUCACUAUUUCCAACUCAGAUCCAAAGCCACCUAGAUAUGCAACCAAUUUGGUGCAGAUCUGUCAGAUUUGAUAGUAGGCCUAGUUCUUGUUUCUCACUCAGAUCCAAAUACACCUAUAUAUGCGAAUUAUUUAGUGUAGGUCUGUCAGAUUUGGUAGUAGGCCUUCUUUCUGGCGCUGUUCCAUGUGUGCUUGGAGAUGAGGAUCAUCAGAGGCUGUUUCUGAGGAUGUGCCUAGAGCUUGUCCUGUGUUGCACAUUGACUGAUUUGCCUAUCUGAUCCAAAGCACUAGUCAAACACUUCCAUUUUCAUUUCUUUUAUUUUGCUGAGGAGGUGAUGAAUAUCAGAGGCUGUUUCUGAGGAUGAGCCUAGAGCUCUUCCUAUGUUGCAAAAUAACUGAUUUGCCUAUCUGAUCCAAAGCACUAGUGAAACACUUUCAUUUUCUUUUCUUUAUUUGGCUGAGGAGAUGAUGAACAUCAGAGGCUGUUUCUGAGGAUGAGCCUAGAGCUCUUCAUAUGCUGCAAAAUAACUGAUUUACCUAUCUGAUCCAAAGCACUAGUCAAACACUUUCUAUUUUCUAUUUUCUAUUUUGCCAAGGAGAUGAUGAAUUUCAGAGGCUGUUUCUGAGGUUGAGCCCAGAGCUCUACUAUGUUGCAAAAUAACUGAUUUGCCUAUCUGAUCCAACUUACUAUUCAAACACUUUCAUUUUCUUUUCUUUAUUUUGCUGAGGAGAUGAUGAAUAUCAGAGGCUGUUUCUGAGGAUGAGCUCAGAGCUCUACCUAUGUUGCAAAAGUACUGAUUUGCCUAUCUGAUCCAAAUUACCAUUCAAAUACUUUAUAUUUUCUCUUCUAUUUUGCCUAGGAGAUGAUGAAUAUCAGAGGCUGUUUCUGAGGAUGAGCCUAGAGCUCUCCAUGUGUUGCAAAAUUACUGAUUUGCCUAUCUGAUCCAAAGCACUACUAGGUAGAAUUUUUUUGGGCUACUGGUGAGAAGCUGUAUGUAGGCUAUGCUUGCUAUCUUGGCUGUUGUGUCAAUUUGUUUUACCUUCAUUGGGGAAAUGAUGAUUAAUUCUUCAGAUAUGUCCUAAAUGGGCUUUUAAAAGAAUGGUGACAAAUUGCACGUCAGUCUGAUCCCCUAUGGUUUUUUACUAAUUUGUUAGUAGUAUCCACUUUUAUAUGGGAAAUGAUGAUUAUUUCAUCUCAGAUGUCCUUUAUGGAUAAUUCAGAAUGAUGAGAAAUUGCACGUCAGUCUGAUCCCAAACUGUAGUUAAACUGUUACUAAUUUAUGUUGAUCUGUCACUAGUUGAUUUAUGUUGAUUGUCCACCAAAUAAUUGGUUUGCCCUUCUCAACUGUGAUGAACAUUCCUAUAAUAGUCAACUAGCAUCGUUGUGAUCAGUCAAACUAAUUUGGACCCUUGCACUGUUGUUUGUGGCAGGAGGAGCUAGGAACUGAAUAUCUGGUGCAGCCGCUUGGCCGUGCUGAAGACGAAGAGCAUUCCAGUGACUUUGAGCCAGAAGAAAAUGGUGAUGGUGCUGAGGACGAGGAGAUUGAGGAUGAUGAUGCUGAGGAUGGUGAGGAUUCUGUCAAGGCGCAAUCCUCUUCGAAGAGGAAGAGGUCUGGCGCGGAGGAUGAAGAUGAUGAUGACGGUGAUGAUGAUGGUGAUGAUGAUGAGAAGCCUCCAUCAAAGCGAUAGUCAAUUUGUUCUUGCUGAUCUGGUAUCUUUUCUGCUUGGGCCAAGAAGGAAAAUAAUCCUCACGGAGAGGGUUGUUGGUAAAUGCUGUAGCUUUAGGACAUCUGUGGUAGGUGUAGCAGCUCGAACUUGAGUCUACCCAUGUUAGUUGUUAGUGCAUACUGCUGAUGUUGAUUAACAGCCUCGGGGAACUUCUGUAUGAGCAUUAGAUAUGGGGCUUGUUAUAUGCUUGUGUAGCUUCUGAUUAAAACCUGUGGAAUGUGGAUGCUCUGUUCUGAAUCUUGUUUUCAUGAUAUUUCU